UACAGAGGUCUCAAGCGUUGUUCGGAUUCAUUUGGGCGUAAAGGGUGCGUAGGCGGCGCGGUAAGUCGGAUGUGAAAUCUCGGAGCUUAACUCCGAAACUGCAUUCGAUACUGCCGUGCUUGAGGACUGGAGAGGAGACUGGAAUUUACGGUGUAGCGGUGAAAUGCGUAGAUAUCGUAAGGAAGACCAGUGGCGAAGGCGGGUCUCUGGACAGUUCCUGACGCUGAGCACGAAGGCCAGGGGAGCAAACGG
rnacentral:rRNA from 1 species